rnacentral:rRNA from 1 species
UACGUAGGGUGCGAGCGUUAAUCGGAAUUACUGGGCGUAAAGCGUGCGCAGGCGGUGAUGUAAGACCGAUGUGAAAUCCCCGGCUUAACCUGGGAACUGCAUUGGUGACUGCAUUGCUGGAGUAUGGCAGAGGGGGGGUGGAAUUCCACGUGUAGCAGUGAAAUGCGUAGAGAUGUGGAGGAACACCGAUGGCGAAGGCAGCCCCUGGCCAAUACUGACGCUCGAUGCACGAAGCGUGGGAGCAAA